GAUGAACGCUGGCGGCGUGCCUAACACAUGCAAGUCGAACGGAGACGUGUGGAGAAUGUCUUCGGGGAUGGAAUUCCGGACUUAGUGGCGACACGGUGAGAAACGAGUUAGCAAACUGCGAUUACUAGGGGGAAAAGAGUCUGAAACGGCUGCUAAUACCGAAUAAAGUGUUUAAAUAGUGUGAUUCUGAUUCGCAGUGAGCUAUCGGCGUUUAGAUGGGCUCGCGUCUGAUUGGUUAGUUGGCGGGGUAACGGGCCACCAAGGGGACGAUAAGUAGCCGGACUGAAAGGUGGCACGGCCACAUUGGCACUGAGACACGGCACAGGCGCCUACGGGGGGCAGCAGUGGGGAAUAUCGCGCAAUGGGGGAAUCACUGACGCAGCAACGCCGCGUGAUUGAAGAAGUCCUUAGGGUUGUAAAGAUCUUUAAUCAGGGACGAAACAAAUGACGGUACCUGAAGAAUAAGCUCCGGCUAACUACGUG
rnacentral:rRNA from 1 species